GACAGAGGGGGCAAGCGUUGCUCGGAAUUACUGGGCGUAAAGGGCGCGUAGGCGGGAUGGCAAGUCGGUCGUGAAAUCCCUCGGCUCAACCGAGGAACGUCGAUCGAUACUGAUCGACUCGAAGGCAGGAGAGGGAAGCGGAAUUCCCGGUGUAGUGGUGAAAUGCGUAGAUAUCGGGAGGAACACCAGUGGCGAAGGCGGCUUUCUGGCCUGCUCUUGACGCUGAGGCGCGAAAGCUAGGGUAGCAAACGGG
rnacentral:rRNA from 1 species